rnacentral:rRNA from 1 species
GAUAGAGUUUUCCCCUUCGGGGGACAGAGUGACAGGUGGUGCAUGGUUGUCGUCAGCUCGUGUCGUGAGAUGUUGGGUUAAGUCCCGCAACGAGCGCAACCCUUAAGCUUAGUUGCCAUCAUUAAGUUGGGCACUCUAAGUUGACUGCCGGUGACAAACCGGAGGAAGGUGGGGAUGACGUCAAAUCAUCAUGCCCCUUAUGAUUUGGGCUACACACGUGCUACAAUGGACAAUACAAAGGGCAGCGAAACCGCGAGGUCAAGCAAAUCCCAUAAAGUUGUUCUCAGUUCGGAUUGUAGUCUGCAACUCGACUAUAUGAAGCUGGAAUCGCUAGUAAUCGUAGAUCAGCAUGCUACGGUGAAUACGUUCCCGGGUCU